AUUGAACGCUGGCGGCAGGCCUAACACAUGCAAGUCGAACGAGUGGCGGACGGGUGAGUAAUGUCUGGGAAACGGCCUGAUGGAGGGGGAUAACUACUGGAAACGGUAGCUAAUACCGCAUACCAUCAGAUGUGCCCAGAUGGGAUUAGCCAGUUGGUGGGGUAACGGCUCACCAAGGCGACGAUCACUAGCUGGUCUUAGAGGAUGACCAGCCAAACUGGAACUGAGACACGGUCCAGACUCCUACGGGAGGCAGCAGUGGGGAAUAUUGCACAAUGGGCGCAAGCCUGAUGCAGCCAUGCCGCGUGUAUGAAGAAGGCCUUCGGGUUGUAAAGUACUUUCAGCGGGGAGGCGUUACCAACAGAAUAAGCACCGGCUAACUUCGUGCCAGCAGCCGCGGUAAUUC
rnacentral:rRNA from 1 species